rnacentral:sRNA from 12 species
UUACCCCUUGUAUGGUGGUGGCUCCGGAAACGUCCACACGGUCACUAUGACGACCGAGGGCACCUUAGCAAGGGGUGAUU